CAACCUCUUUCAGCAGGGACGAAGCGCAAGUGACGGUACCUGCAGAAGAAGCACCGGCCAACUACGUGCCAGCAGCCGCGGUAAUACGUAGGGUGCGAGCGUUGUCCGGAAUUACUGGGCGUAAAGAGCUCGUAGGCGGUUUGUCGCGUCGUCUGUGAAAACCCGCAGCUCAACUGCGGGCUUGCAGGCGAUACGGGCAGACUUGAGUACUGCAGGGGAGACUGGAAUUCCUGGUGUAGCGGUGAAAUGCGCAGAUAUCAGGAGGAACACCGGUGGCGAAGGCGGGUCUCUGGGCAGUAACUGACGCUGAGGAGCGAAAGCGUGGGUAGCGAACAGGAUUAGAUACCCUGGUAGUC
rnacentral:rRNA from 1 species